CGCCCUUCCCUCCGCCGCCAUCAGUACUCGACGGGGCAGCAGUGGGGAAUAGUUGCACAAUGGACGAAAGUCUGAUGCAGCCAUGCCGCGUGAGUGAUGAAGGCCUUCGGGUUGUAAAGCUCUUUUGGCGGGGUACGAUAAUGACGGUACCCGCAGAAUAAGCCCCGGCUAACUUCGUGCCAGCAGCCGCGGUAAUAC
rnacentral:rRNA from 1 species